rnacentral:rRNA from 2 species
GCGGCGUGCCUAAGACAUGCAAGCCGAGCGAACUGAUUAGAAGCUUGCUUCUAUGACGUUAGCGGCGGACGGGUGAGUAACACGUGGGCAACCUGCCUGUAAGACUGGGAUAACUUCGGGAAACCGAAGCUAAUACCGGAUAGGAUCUUCUCCUUCAUGGGAGAUGAUUGAAAGAUGGUUUCGGCUAUCACUUACAGAUGGGCCCGCGGUGCAUUAGCUAGUUGGUGAGGUAACGGCUCACCAAGGCAACGAUGCAUAGCCGACCUGAGAGGGUGAUCGGCCAGACUGGGACUGAGACACGGCCCAGACUCCUACGGGAGGCAGCAGUAGGGAAUCUUCCGCAAUGGACGAAAGUCUGACGGAGCAACGCCGCGUGAGUGAUGAAGGCUUUCGGGUCGUAAAACUCUGUUGUUAGGGAAC